rnacentral:tRNA from 1 species
AGGGGUAUAGCUCAGGGGUAGAGCGCUCGCUUUGCAUGCGAGAAGUCUGGGGCUCGAUUCCCCAUACCUCCA